CAUGCAAGUCGAACGAAGGCUUCGGCCUUAGUGGCGCACGGGUGCGUAACGCGUGGGAAUCUGCCCUUGGGUUCGGAAUAACAGUUAGAAAUGACUGCUAAUACCGGAUGAUGUCGCAAGACCAAAGAUUUAUCGCCCAAGGAUGAGCCCGCGUAGGAUUAGCUAGUUGGUGAGGUAAAAGCUCACCAAGGCGACGAUCCUUAGCUGGUCUGAGAGGAUGAUCAGCCACACUGGGACUGAGACACGGCCCAGACUCCUACGGGAGGCAGCAGUGGGGAAUAUUGGACAAUGGGCGAAAGCCUGAUCCAGCAAUGCCGCGUGAGUGAUGAAGGCCUUAGGGUUGUAAAGCUCUUUUACCCGGGAUGAUAAUGACAGUACCGGGAGAAUAAGCUCCGGCUAACUUCGUGCCAGCAGCCGCGGUAAUACGAGGGGAGCUAGCGUUAUUCGGAAUUACUGGGCGUAAAGCGCACGUAGGCGGCUUUGUAAGUUAGAGGUGAAAGCCCGGGGCUCAACUCCGGAAUUGCCUUUAAGACUGCAUCGCUUGAAUCCAGGAGAGGUGAGUGGAAUUCCGAGUGUAGAGGUGAAAUUCGUAGAUAUUANGAAGAACACCAGUGGCGAANGCGGCUCACUGGCCCGGUACUGACGCUCA
rnacentral:rRNA from 1 species